GUGCUCACUUCAGCAGCACAUAUGCUAAAAUUGGAAUGAUACAGAGAUUAGCAUGGACCCUGCUCAAGGAUGACAAGCAAAUUCAUGAAAUAUACCAUUUUUUU
rnacentral:snRNA from 1 species